UACGUAGGGUGCAAGCAUUAAUCGGAUUUAUUGGGCGUAAAGGGCGCGUAGGCGGGGAUGUAAGUCAAAUGUGAAAUCCCGGGGCUCAACCCCGGAACAGCAUCUGAAACUGCAUUUCUAGAGGGUAGGCGGAGAAAACGGAAUUCCACAAGUAGCGGUGAAAUGCGUAGAUAUGUGGAAGAACAUCAGUGGCGAAGGCGGUUUUCUAGCUUAUACCUGACGCUGAUGCGCGAAAGCAAGGGGAGCAAACAGG
rnacentral:rRNA from 1 species